CUCAGCUCGCCACCGCCACUUCUGACCCACUCCCCUGCUUUUCCAUGCGCACGCCUGCACCGGCGUAGGAGACGAUGGAGCCCAGCGUACGAGCCUGCACGACGGCGAGCCGCGCGGCAAGGAUAGGGGGCACCGGCUGCUUGAUUUUGUGCCUUUCGGCCGGCGGCGCCGUCUUCUGACAUGGCGCCAUCUGCUUCGGCUGGACGCCAUCGCUAGGAAAGGAGGAGGAGGGUCGGCAUCGCCUGCGACCGACGGAUUUCUCCGUCCCCAAGAGCAUUCCCGCAUCAAGGGCUGAACCCAAGCGAUGCGAGCAACAGAGGGCAGCGCUGCGAUGGAUGGAGCGACGCCUGUUGGCUCGACCUAGAAGUCACUAGGCGACAUCGAGGGAUUCUCUCACCGCUGCUCCUCCCUCCCCACUGGUGGAGGCCGCCUCUUCCGCAGCCCUGUCCUCACCGGCCCAGCCGCCCAGGCGAAAUCAGGCACGAGGAGUGCAUACACAUGUAGGAAAUAUAAGAGGAGGAAGAAGCUACAAUAGAAAAUUUCUGAAGAAGAAGCCGAAGGUUUCAUAUUAACCUCUUGCUUUGCAUAAUAAACCAUUAUAAGCUCCUUUUGUAAAUCAUGUCGUAGUUUACCCAUCUCCCCAAAAGAAUGUGAUAUCAGAUGCAUAAUUGUUCAUUCAGAUUUAAUCUUCAGUAGAGUAUCAACCACCCAAGAUGAAUUUUACAGACUUAGGCUUUACAUUUUUAUUUUUUGGUUAUUGAAUCUGUUUCAUAAUAGCAACUGCAUGUGUUCAUAUAUAUAACCUGUAAUAAGGAUUUUCUACUUUCCAAGAUUUGGGCGAAGGUAAAAGCAAAGAUUUAAAGAUGUUCAUUUAUCUGAAUGUCACCCUUACUUUGUUGCUCUGAUUGGAAGGUAUAAUGGAAAUACGCCCCCUAUCACCCUUCCAUUUUCCUUUGAUUCAUAUAUGUGACCCCUGCGUUGAUUUCUGUUGGCUUGGUUUGAUACCUGCUUGAUUUUGUCCAGGUCAGGAAGUAUUGUGCUGUGGUGGUGGUCUGCUAUCAAAACCAAAGUGGCAUGCAUGUAGAAAUAUGUACCGAGAAUAUUAUUCCUCCCCUGCAGAUGUACCAACAUGUAGAUUUACCAAAAGUGUGUCAUUUUGUGAAGUGUGAGCUGUCUUUGCAUGUCUGCUGAUUCCAUGAGGUAAAACUUGGCAUCAAGUUACUUUAUUUUCCAGCAUGGUCCUUUUCACUUGUAGAAUGUGUAAUAUGGUGUUUCUUAUAUUUCUUAUGCAUAGAAACUAUUUAGCGUGCAUUUACCCACCUACUUGAGCAAUUGAUGAAUGUGUUGUGUUCACAAGAAUAGUGGUACGACUUAGUGCAAUGAGUGAGAAUCUUGAAAAAAUACAAGAACUAUGUGACAAAAUGUCUUCAUAAUGAUGAGAAACAUGCAUGUGUGGUCUUGGCUCAUCAAUCCAUUCUGAUAAUGCACAAGGGGACAAUUAAUAUUUUUUUGGGUACAAAGCUAUGUUCAUGUGACACAUUUGGGUUGUUUGGAAUUUGUAAGAGGAAAUUGAGCGAGUUACGGCCACACUAGGAUAAAUAUGUCACUUUUAUGGUUAUUUUGUUAGUUUUGUCCUGAUUUUGCAUGUGUUCUAUUAAGUUAUGCCAACCAGCCAUUUGCUGAUUUUACAAUUAUCUCAGCUUGCUUGUUGUUUGUCAUCAAGUGUUUUGACAAGGGUCGUUGA